rnacentral:rRNA from 1 species
ACAUUUCGAAAGGAAUGCUAAUACCGAAUGAAGUGCAUUGGCCGCAUGGCUGAUGCACCAAAGGCCGGGCAACCGGUCACUGAAGGAUGGGCCUGCGUCUGAUUAGCUAGUUGGUGGGGUAACGGCCCACCAAGGCGACGAUCAGUAGCCGGUCUGAGAGGAUGAACGGCCACAUUGGGACUGAGACACGGCCCAAACUCCUACGGGAGGCAGCAGUGGGGAAUCUUCCGCAAUGGGCGAAAGCCUGACGGAGCAACGCCGCGUGAGUGAAGAAGGUUUUCGGAUCGUAAAGCUCUGUUGUCAGGGACGAGAGACUUGAUCAGGAAAUGGGUCAAGGAGGACGGUACCUGGCGAGAAAGCCACGGCUAACUACGUGCCAGCAGCCGCGGUAAUACGUAGGUGGCGAGCGUUGUCCGGAAUUAUUGGGCGUAAAGGGAGCGCAGGUGGGAAGGUAAGUCAGUCUUAAAAGUUCGGGGCUCAACCCCGUGAUGGGAUUGAAACUAUUUUUCUUGAGUGCAGGAGAGGAAAGCGGAAUUCCUAGUGUAGCGGUGAAAUGCGUAGAUAUUAGGAGGAACACCAG